UGGCGAACGGGUGAGUAACACGUGGGUGAUCUGCCGUGCACUUUGGUAAGCCUGGGAAACUGGGUCUAAUACCGAGUAGGACCGCAUGCUUCAUGGUGUGUGGUAAAGCUUUUGCGGUGUGGGAUGGGCCCGCGGCCUAUCAGCUUGUUGGUGGGGUAAUGGUACCAAGGCGACGACGGGUAGCCGGCCUGAGAGGGUGUCCGGCCACACUGGGACUGAGACGGCCCAGACUCCUACGGGAGGCAGCAGUGGGGAAUAUUGCACAAUGGGCGCAAGCCAUGCAGCGACGCCGCGUGGGGGAUGACGGCCUUCGGGUUGUAAACCUCUUUCAGUAUCCGAAGCUCCAGGAUUUUUCUUGGGGUGACGGUAGGUACAGAAGAAGCACCGGCCAACUGUGCCAGCAGCCGCGGUAAUACGUAGGGUGCGAGCGUUGUCCGGAAUUACUGGGCGUAGAGCUCGUAGGUGGUUUGUCACGUUGUCCGUGAAAACUCACAGCUUAACUGUGGGCGUGGGCGAUACGGGCAGACUAGAGUACUGUAGGGGAGACUGGAAUUCCUGGUGUAGCGGUAAUGCGCAGAUAUCAGGAGGAACACCGGUGGCGAAGGCGGGUCUCUGGGCAGUAACUGGCUGAGGAGCGAAAGCGUGGGGAGCGAACAGGAUUAGAUACCCUGGUAGUCCACGCCGAACGGUGGGUACUAGGUGUGGGUUUCCUUCCUUUAGGGAUCCGUGCCGUAGCUAACGC
rnacentral:rRNA from 1 species